rnacentral:rRNA from 1 species
UUAUACGACCGUACCGCAAACCGACACUGGUGCGCGAGAUGAGUAUUCUAAGGCGCUUGAGAGAACUCAGGAGAAGGAACUCGGCAAAUUGACACCGUAACUUCGGAAGAAGGUGUGCCCUAUUAGUGUGUAGUGAACAACGAAGCAUGAAUGGGUUGCAAAAAAUCGGUGGCUGCGACUGUUUAUUAAAAACACAGCACUCUGCAAACACGAAAGUGGACGUAUAGGGUGUGACGCCUGCCCGGUGCUGGAAGAUUAAAUGAUGGGGUGCAAGCUCUUGAUUGAAGUCCCAGUAAACGGCGGCCGUAACAAUAACGGUCCUAAGGUAGCGAAAUUCCUUGUCGGGUAAGUUCCGACCUGCACGAAUGGCGUAACGAUGGCCACACUGUCUCCUCCUGAGACUCAGCGAAGUUGAAAUGUUUGUGAUGAUGCAAUCUCCCCGCGGAAAGACGGAAAGACCCCAUGAACCUUUACUGUAGCUUUGUAUUGGACUUUGAACAGAUCUCUGUAGGAUAGGUGGGAGGCUUUGAAGCAGGGUCGCUAGAUCUUGUGGAGCCAACGUUGAAAUACCACCCUGGUGUGUUUGAGGUUCUAACCUAGGUCCAUUAUCUGGAUCGGGGACAGUGCAUGGUAGGCAGUUUGACUGGGGCGGUCUCCUCCCAAAGCGUAACGGAGGAGUUCGAAGGUACGCUAGUUACGGUCGGACAUCGUGACGAUAGUGCAAUGGCAUAAGCGUGCUUAACUGCGAGACUGACAAGUCGAGCAGAUGCGAAAGCAGGACAUAGUGAUCCGGUGGUUCUGUAUGGAAGGGCCAUCGCUCAACGGAUAAAAGGUACUCUGGGGAUAACAGGCUGAUACCGCCCAAGAGUUCAUAUCGACGGCGGUGUUUGGCACCUCGAUGUCGGCUCAUCUCAUCCUGGGGCUGUAGCCGGUCCCAAGGGUAUGGCUGUUCGCCAUUUAAAGAGGUACGUGAGCUGGGUUUAAAACGUCGUGAGACAGUUUGGUCCCUAUCUUCCGUGGGCGCUGCAGAUUUGAGGAAGCCUGCUCCUAGUACGAGAGGACCGGAGUGGACACACCUCUGGUGUAUCGGUUGUCACGCCAGUGGCAUUGCCGAGUAGCUAAGUGUGGAAGAGAUAACCGCUGAAAGCAUCUAAGCGGGAAACUCGUUUCAAGAUGAGAUCUGCCGGGGCCUUGAGCCCCCUAAAGAGUCGUUCAAGACCAGGACGUUGAUAGGUCAGGUGUGGAAGCUAU